GACUCAGAACCUCAAGUUCCUUCUGGAAAAUUAGCUUAAUAAUUAUCUAUAGUGAGUCUUAAAUAACAUGAAAUAUAUCCAGUGCUUAAGAAAUAGCAUAGUAAGCCCUCACUAAAGAGAAAUUUUUACUUUUACUCUAGAUUCUAGGGAUGAUUUACAGACUAAAAAAGGAAAUGUCUCUUCUCAGCUUAGUUUAAAUAGUUUUAUUGUGAACCAAUUUUGUUUGGGGCAUUCUGCACGGCACUGUGGAUAGUAAGGAAAACCAGGAAUUGUUUCUACUCUCAAGGAAACUUCAGACUACAGAAGAGAGAGGACACAUUCUAAUGAAUAAUAUAUCAAUGUGAGGUGUACUUUAUAAAAACAUGUAGCAUAAAGAAGUGUAUAGGAGAAGGAGUGACCCACCACUAUUGGGGGAGAGGAAAGUUGGAGGAACAAGCCACUUAUCAUGAGCAAGUUUGAGAAGAAUGGAUAUUGUUUACCAGCUAUCAAGGUGUGAAGAGGGGGAAGAAAACUCCAGAGAUACAAAUGGUACGGAGUGAAGGGAGCAUCGCCUUUGGGUAUUCAUUAUUCUGGUGAUCACCUGGGAGUGGCCAAUUUGAAACCACCUUGGCGCUUUUUCUCCAUUUCAGCUCUUCUUUCAACCUUUUAUGGGUGUGGAUUCAAUCCAAUAAACAUUUAGGAGGAAUCUCCAACACCUUGCUAGCUACUGAGAAUAUGAAACUGUUUAUUUUAUGUGUGUUUUUAUUCAAUUCCUGGAAAAACUAAGUAUUGUAAGAUAUGCACACAU